rnacentral:rRNA from 1 species
CAAGACCUUGCGCUUUUGGAGCGGCCGAUGUCUGAUUAGCUAGUUGGUGAGGUAAAGGCUUACCAAGGCUUCGAUCAGUAGCUGGUCUGAGAGGACGACCAGCCACACUGGGACUGAGACACGGCCCAGACUCCUACGGGAGGCAGCAGUGGGGAAUUUUGGACAAUGGGGGCAACCCUGAUCCAGCCAUGCCGCGUGAGUGAAGAAGGCCUUCGGGUUGUAAAGCUCUUUCAGCCGGAACGAAACGGUCACGGCUAAUAACCGUGAUCACUGACGGUACCGGAAGAAGAAGCACCGGCUAACUACGUGCCAGCAGCCGCGGUAAUACGUAGGGUGCGAGCGUUAAUCGGAAUUACUGGGCGUAAAGCGUGCGCAGGCGGUUUUGUAAGUCAGAUGUGAAAUCCCCGGGCUUAACCUGGGAACU